rnacentral:misc_RNA from 1 species
GCGGUUAAUGCCAACAAUAAUAGUUAAGUUUAUACUAAGAGUAACAUGAUUGUUUAGAACAAAUGGAAAUGUCUAAAAUAUCACAUCAAGGCACAAAUUCGAAUUCAGCAGCCCACAUCUUCCUACUUGAUUGGAUCACUUGGGAAAAAAAGAAUGGAAAUUAUACUUACAUAAAAAUGUAAAUAAAAAAGCAAAGAUUCAUUCCUUGUGUUUGAUCAAUUACCUAAAUACACAAUCAACUCCCUUGUUAUACACAUCUAUCAAAUACACAAGGAUUAGUUGAUCAACAAUAAAUCUUGACAGUUACCUGCAGCCAUACAAUGGAGUGCAGACUAAAGGCCUCAAAUCCAUCAUAUUAAGAAUGGAAUGCACAAGAUUCUCAUCUUUUAAUCUUCAAGCACCAGAUAUAGGAACAAUUUCCCCAUAAACAAACUUACCAAAAGAAUUAGCACAAUAAUCUGAUUUGCUUGGAUUGAAGCCUACAAGAUCCUUAAAAAAGUUCUCAAAUGAAAUGGCCAACUUGAGUUCUAGGUGUUGUCCAGCAUGAAUGACAGCACUGAAUUGGUCCAGAUUUUACCUCAAAUAGUAGGAAAUCGACUGUGCCAAAAAUGAGGUCAGAAAGGUAUAGAAGAGGAAGGAGGAACGCAUAAAAGCACCACCCUUGCACCAAAUUAGCGGCAUGGAGAAAUUCCAAUGAAUGAAAAAAAAAUUAUCACAAUGACCAAUCAUCUCCUCAAGACUGAGAACAACAGUGCCUAAACACCACUUUCAAUGUUCCAUUAAGGCAGUUUCAGUUUCUGACAGUGGAGCAAGUAAAUCUUCAUAUGAAUCUGUUAAUAGGGAUGUGUCCAUUAGCAAAGGAGGUGAGAAGACCUGAUCAUGUGAUUCCUCAAUAUCAUAAAAAGGCCUGUGCCCACCAAACAUUGCACCAUUUGAGCCAGCAGCCGAAAGAAAGCCAUUUACAUGGUUGUAAUCAGUAAUAGAAUCCAAAUCAUUUAAAAUGUCUGGUAUAUCAUUGUAAUUCCCAACUUGACCACCAGGAGCAUGAUUCUCAAGCAAAGCAGUGUCCUUUUGAGAUGUAAGCAAUCUUUCACUCCUCCUUGAAGCUACUUUGUUUUCUAGGUCCAGGGAAGAAAAUCUAGUUGCUGAUAGAGGUAAAAAGAAGUGCUCAGAAAUUUCAUCAGUGUGACUGUCUCGAGAUGAUUCUGAAUUCAAGGAUUGUCGGGUAGAAAGCGCUGCUUCUCUUACAGAUCUUUUUAAGUUUUGAACAUAAGAAUUAUCACUAUCUUGUGGUGUAUUAUCUAAGCGACUAUUUGAUAAAGGCUGGUCCAGAGAGUUCCUUUCAGACAUAUUUUCCAUCUGGUUGAUUUGGGGAGCUACAGUUUGUCUCUUUUGCAUGUUUCCACCUUUUCCUGAAGAAUUUGGGGUCAAACUGAAUAACUGUGGUAGUUUUAAAGCAGGGGGACUAGCAGACACCUUGUCAAGAUGAACAGCGGACAUUUUUGAGGUCACCUCAGCAACAUCAUCUGAGCUACUUUCCAGGGUCCUUCCACUGCUCUGAGCCUGUGUAGGUGAUGUUGCUCGGCCACGAUGCUUGGGCAUGGGUGGAAGGCUGGAGGAUAUAUUAUUUACCUUCUCUGUACACUCAGCUAUUGACUUUUGUAUUGCUGGAGCAACUUCCUUAAGUUGAUUAAUAAGCACCUGAAAACUAGCCAGGUGUUGCUGAUGUUCUGCAAGAGUUGCAGCUAAAGACUCAACAUGUCCACUUGCACCAGCCUCAUGUGCACUUCGUAAUAAAUCUGGACCUUCUCCAUCAUUAGCUUUGGCCAGAUGAAGCGACUGUUUAUGAAUACGUUGCAAUGCAUGUGUCCAACGCCUAAUAAUUUCUGCUACAUCAACAGAGGUGUGGACUCUUCCCCCUCUAUCAUCCACCAGAGACUGUGUGUCACCAUUUGCUUGUAGAUGGGAUGAAUCCAAAUUGUUCUUCAGCUUUUCCCUAUUUACAUUUAUAUUUGAACCAUCAUUUUCUUCCUUGUCACCUAAAUGUGUAUCUGGAAAGGGACCUUGUGAACUUUGGUCCAUAGCCGAGAGCAAAGAUGAUCCAGAGAUACGAUAUCUAUGCUCCCGAUGAGCUAUUAAGUCCUCAAUUGGGCCUGAAGCAAGAACUUCAUGUUGACUUUUACGCACUAAUAUAGACUCCCACAAGCGAGUAGCCUUUGAAACUAAAUGAGCAUUCUGACUAGAACUUGAUACAAGAUCAUCCCACAAUUCUCCUUCCAACUUUACUUUGUUCCUCAAAUCAUGCAGUUUUUCAAGUUCUUGCUGCAAAUAAGCCUGGCAUCCAGGUUUCCACAGAAAAAAGUGAACAAAAACUCAGUUGUUGUCUGCUGAAACUUUCACAAAAAUGUCAAGGAGUUUCCCCUUUACCUCUUCAGCACAAAGACCACGAAACUCUGCAGUCAUGUCAUGAGCCAAAUUGGACCACAUAGCCUGUCUCUGCACAGCUGUUUCUGCAUUCUUAAGAAACCUCCUUCUUUCAAGGGCUAUUCUAGCCUUCGUUACGGGAAGCAGUGUAGCUGCGUGCUGAAAGGCUACAUCAGUUAGGGAUGCAGGCAAUGGGUUGGAAGCUACAUCAGUAGCAAAUGUCCGUCUAUGAACCUCCCGCAGAGCAUGCAAAGAAAGUUGCCAUAAAAGUUCAACAAACCUCGGUCCACAGCAAGUAGCAAGCGAAGAAACCCUCGAAUUGCUCCGUGGAAGCGCCCCUUGAGAUUCGAGCUCACUGAUAAUCCCUUGGACAACCUUACGAAAAUCACGCGACUGCGCAGAAUCGAAAAUCGGCCAUACCUUAUCGAAAUCUUUGGCGGAUUGAACGGGGCCGCGAAGGGAUGAGAGGAUGAAAUAGAGGAGCUGCUCGCCCAAUUUAGGAUUGGAGUGGCGGAAGAGUCCGACUCGAGGAGUGCCGUUGGAAGCUCCAAGUCCGAUAAUGUUCGGAUCCAGGCCUAAAAGCAAGCAGUUGGUGUACAUUGCGCUUUCUAGCUCUAUCUCUCUCUCCUUCUCUCUGUCCAUCGUCAUCUAAAUUUCGACCUCCGCACUCUCUCUUCAGAUUUCUCCUUCUGCUCCGUCGUUCUCUCUCCUGUCUGCUUUGCU